rnacentral:rRNA from 1 species
CCUACGGGCGGCAGCAGUGGGGAAUAUUGCACAAUGGGGGAAACCCUGAUGCAGCGACGCCGCGUGAGUGAAGACGUAUUUCGGUAUGUAAAGCUCUAUUAGCAGGGAAGAAAAUGAGGGUACCUGUUUAAGACGCCCCGGACAACAACGUGACAGUAGCCGCGGGACUACGUAGGGGACAAGGGUUAUCCGGAUUUACUGGGGGUAAAGGGAGCGUAGACGGCUGGACAAGUCUGGAGUGAAAUGCCCGGGCUUAACCCCGGAACUGCUUGUGAGACUGUGCAGCUAGAGUGCAGGAGAGGUAGGUGGAAUUCCUGGUGUAGCAGUGAAAUGCGUAGAUAUUAGGAAGAACACCGAUGGCGAAGGCAGCUUACUGGACUGUAACUGACGUUGAGGCUCGAAAGCGUGGGGAGCAAACAGGAUUAGAUACCCGUGUAGUC